rnacentral:tRNA from 1 species
GGGGAUUUAGCUCAGUGGCAUAAGCACCUGCCUUGCAAACAGGCGGUCCUGAGUUCAAUCCCUA